CCCUACGGGGUGUUCGAGGGGAGGACUCAUCAUCAUCCCUUCCUGAGCGAAUCUCCCUUCCGCAUCGCCCAGGAACAGGCUGCCUGUGCCCGGCACGCCACUCUCCUGGCUGCGGCCACCCCAGAUCCGGAAUCCGCCCACCUGGGGCUUCUUCGGAUCGUCCGGCUUGCGCCCUUGCCGCAUCAGAAUCAUCGUAUCCCAUGGCUCCCGAUCCGGAGCGGGCUUGGGCCACGUCUCGAUGGUGAACGGCGGCUUGAUCGCCAGCGACGGACUGGCCGGGACAAGGAGGCAAUCAUCGACGCCGUCGAAAGAGAGAGCGUAUCGACCGAGAGGCCCGGGUCCGCCGGCGGGGGAGC
rnacentral:rRNA from 1 species